rnacentral:rRNA from 1 species
UAGAUAUUGAGAAUUAAAGGUAUAUUCUGCCCUAUGAUUUAUUUAAAUGGCUGCAGUAUAUUGACUGUGCAAAGGUAGCAUAAUAAUUAGUCUUUUAAUUGAAGGCUUGUAUGAAUGAGUGAAUGAGAAGUUUAUUUUAUUUUUUUUAUUUUUGGAAUUUAAUUUUUAUGUAAUAAAGCUUAAUUGUUUUUUAGGGACGAGAAGACCCUAUAGAAUUUUAAUUGGUUAUUUUUAUUAUUAUGUUUUAGGUUAUUUAAUUGUUUUAUUAUUUAUUUAAUUUUUGUUGGGGCGGUAGUCAAAUUAAUCUUUGAUUUUUUAAUUUCAUUUUAUAUAUGUUUAUAUUUGAUCCAUUAUUAGUGAUUAUAAGAUUAAAUUACCUUAGGGAUAACAGCAUAAUUUUUAUGGUGAGUUCAUAUUUAUAUAAAAGUUUGUGACCUCGAUGUUGAAUUAAGAUAAGAUUUUGGAGCAG